rnacentral:rRNA from 1 species
UACAGAGGUCCCAAGCGUUGUUCGGAUUCAUUGGGCGUAAAGGGUGCGUAGGCGGCGCGGUAAGUCGGGUGUGAAAUCUCGGGGCUUAACUCCGAAACUGCAUUCGAUACUGCCGUGCUUGAGGACUGGAGAGGAGACUGGAAUUUACGGUGUAGCGGUGAAAUGCGUAGAUAUCGUAAGGAAGACCAGUGGCGAAGGCGGGUCUCUGGACAGUUCCUGACGCUGAGGCACGAAGGUCAGGGGAGCAAACGGG